GCGGCGGAGACCCAGUCCUCUACAGUGUGCUUUCCGCCCUGGGAUCGGGGUCUGGAAGUCCGUGUCGCGUUGUUUGAGGGAUUAAACAGUCUCCCGAAACGCUGUCCGACUCCGCGGGGUGGGACGUGGGAGGAGAAGGCAGGGUGUGAGCUUCUGUCCCCGGUGCCCUUGGAACCCUCCGCAGCGCGCUGUCCAACACCGCGGUCGCCUUGCUGCUCAUCACUCAACCUCAGAUCCUCGACCGUGCUACCACUACUGAAACCGGACGUGAUGGUGUCCGCCUUUAAUUCCAGCACCCGAGAGACAGAGGCAAGUGAUCUCUGUGAAUUUGGAGCCAGGGUUUCUUAGUGUAAACUGGAACAUGCUUUGUAGACCAGGCUGGUGCUGACAACUGCUAUGUCAGAGAGAUAAAAGUGGACGUGGAAAA